rnacentral:rRNA from 1 species
AGUAGCGGAGCAUGUGGUUUAAUUCGAAGCAACGCGAAGAACCUUACCUAAGCUUGACAUCCCAAUGACAUCUCCUUAAUCGGAGAGUUCCCUUCGGGGACAUUGGUGACAGGUGGUGCAUGGUUGUCGUCAGCUCGUGUCGUGAGAUGUUGGGUUAAGUCCCGCAACGAGCGCAACCCUUGUCUUUAGUUGCCAUCAUUAAGUUGGGCACUCUAGAGAGACUGCCAGGGAUAACCUGGAGGAAGGUGGGGAUGACGUCAAAUCAUCAUGCCCCUUAUGCUUAGGGCUACACACGUGCUACAAUGGGUAGUACAGAGGGUUGCCAAGCCGUAAGGCGGAGCUAAUCCCUUAAAGCUACUCUCAGUUCGGAUUGUAGGCUGAAACUCGCCUACAUGAAGCUGGAGUUACUAGUAAUCGCAGAUCAGAAUGCUGCGGUGAAUGCGUUCCCGGGUCUUGUACACACCGCCCGUCACACCACGGGAGUUGGAGACGCCCGAAGCCGAUUAUCUAACCUUUUGGAAGAAGUCGUCGAAGGUGGAAUCAAUAACUGGGGUGAAGUCGUAACAAGGUAGCCGUAUCGGAAGGUGCGGCUGGGUCACCUCCUUUCUAAGGA